rnacentral:misc_RNA from 1 species
GAAGUGCGAUAAGCAAUGCGAAUUGCAGAAUUCCGCGAAUCAUCAGAUCUUUGAACGCAAAUGGCGCCAGAGGGAUAUCCUUCCGGCAUGUCUGUUUCAGUGUCUGAGAGGUUUCACAACUAUCUUAAUGUGAUUGAUGGCUUAGAGUGUACUCCUAGGAGCACCUCUAAAUUACCAUCUCUCAUGAAAGAUGUUCGAGUGGAUCUUUAGGUCCAAUGAAGUGGUCACAUCACUCGCAUGUGAUUUCAUUGGGACAACCUAAUUAUCCGCAUGCUCGAAGUACUCUCACGUAGUAUCGCCUUCACCGGCGAUCUACCACUCCACACCCUGCAUCUGAAACAGGCAAGAUCACCCGCUGAACUUAA